GAUGUUGUACUGAGGGACAUGGUUUAGUGGGAAAUACAGGUGAUAGGUGGAUGGCUGAACUGGAUAAUAUUAGAGGUCUUUUCCAGCCUUGGCAUUUCUAUGAUUCUAAGAAAGUGCAUUACUCAAAACCUGACCUUUACUCAAAAGACUGACCUUUCACUGAAAGGAAAAAUUAUGCGGUUUACCUACAGUAAACAAACUGUUAUGAUACGGAUACACUUUUUUAAAAUGGGAAAAAGUAAUUAGCAACUCUGUUUACUCAGCCUUCAGGUCAUACUGUAAAAUACACAGCAAAUGGUAACUCCUGGAAAUCAGAAUGUGUGUGUCUCAUUUAUAGCAAGUUUCUGUGUCAUAAAUGAUAUACUAAACUCUGAAGCAAAAAACAGAAUCUAACUGCAUACUAAGUAUGCUGAUAAUAUUAGUAUGUGUUCAGUUUAAACAAUCAGAAAAUUAACAAGCCCAGCUUGAACACUAAUUCCUGUCUGGCUUUUUACAGACUUCCCAGCAUGAAACAGUGUCAGACAUUUUCCUGAUCACUUUGUGAUACUUUAUCAAUUUUCUUACAUUUCAGAGUAACUGUAAAUACAGUGGAAUUCAUACAAGAAAUACUGCAAGUGCUGUACAAAUUGUACAGCAUGCUUAAAACAUGCAGAACUUAGUUCUUUCUCUGUCCGUUUAUAUUAUUAUUUUAAAUAGUCAAAAGAAAUCCGCCACCUGGAGGAUAAUUAGAAUAGUCUUAAGUAUUGGAGUUUCCAGAAACUUUAACCCCUCUCCAGCCUUCUAUAAAGCUAAUCCCUGGAGAAUGUGAUGCUUUUUGAUCAGUUUAUUUCACCUUUCAUGAGCUCAUUCAAACUCCAUCAGCACUGCUUGUUAAGUCUUCAGCGUUUAUGUCUUAGUGUCAGAGCAAUGCAGAUUCAAGGUAUCUUACAGGAAACAAUCUUCCAACAUUAGCCACAUUUUGCACUGGUAGAAUGAAUGGUGUGUUUCUUCAGUAUAAUGAAAGAUGCUUUCCCAUGUCUCAGAGACUAGAUAGACUGAUCCUGUUUUGCUAUUGUGUCUACAACCUUUCUUUACCGUUUUUCCUUACAUCUGGUAAUUUGAAAAAUGACAUACGGGAGUUAGGCUUCUGUGUGAUUUUUGUAUGAACUUUUCUUCUGUAGAUAGCAAUUAUUCUAAAAAAAAUUAUGCAGCCUACCCAUCCAAACUGUUUCCUGUCCAUUGAUGGAGUCUAAUAAGAGAUACAUUUCCUUCACAUUCAUGAUAUGCUUCACUUAAUACCCUUCCUAAAUAUCCCACCCUGCCUACUGAAGGCCUUCCUGAUGCUCUAGAAUAUCAUUGUUAAUGGUAUCCCAGAUGCCACUGAAGCACUAGUAAAUGUUUUGCUGUUCAUGGGUAGGAAAGCCAUUGCACACUUUCAGAGUGCAAAAACAUACUCAGGAAAGCCUUAUGAAAGAAAACCAGGGAACACUUUCGAUUUCAAAAAUGCGUUGCCUGGAGGCUAGGAAACAAUGAGGUCUGUGUCACCUUCAGUCCUUUAGAAUUGAGUGUACUUACUAUUCACCAGUUUGUUGGUACAGGUAGCUCAUGUGUACGCAUGCCGGACUGUUAAAAAAAAACUCCAUUGCCCCAGGGUCCUGUUCCUAUCAAAUAUAUAAGUGAUAAGUUUUCGCUUUGUCCUUUUAUUUUCCUUUAUGUUCUUUCACGAGACAGCUUUGCUGACUGUUGCCAAUUAUUUCUGCCUUGUCCCAUUCCUCCUGGUGUUUGAGCCAUUAGUUUUCCAUUGUCAACCUGACAUAAGAACGGAUCUGUUUGAAGAGGUAGCUUUCUUCAGGGCUAUUGUUUUUUGUCAGUGGCUUCCAUUGCCAUAGGAAUCACAGAACACCUAGCGGUUAGCAGUGAGAAUAGAAAUUGAGGAUCAAUUCAGUUACCCCCAUGCAAUCAUGUUCUUCUACCUGGAGGUGCUAUCAGAAACAUCUCAUGACUUCUGUCAAAUCAGACAGACCCAUUGUGAGAGACCUGUGACUUUCUGUAAGGUCAGCUGGAAGUGAGCUGAGUUAUGCUUAGAAAACUCAAAUGGACAAAUAUGUAAAGCAACUUCUUUUGCCUAGUUUCCAGUCUGCACAGUACUAUAAAUAACAUUUAUGUUUUGAAGUUUCAGCCAGGUGAGGUCUUCUUAGCAAUAUUCUAAAAAAAAAACUGAGUUUUACUGCUUUACAGGUGAGAAGCUACAAAAUAUUCUCUCUUGUCAUAAGAGAGAAGAGAAUGAAGGAAAAUGAGGAAGCUGGAAUGCAGUAAAAAGAAGAAAACCACUGGAAAGCUGUUUUUGUAUGGGGCUGAUACUCCUAGAAGAGAUGCUGCUUUGCAGUAGAGAUUGCAGGGGUAAUCGAAAGGGUUGUUCAAGUGCAUGACCUCAAGUAACAGCCACUCCACUAAGAGAGUAAGUAUUUGAGAACCUUCAACAUAAAUGCAUGCAGGGUGACAAAUACUGUGACAAACACUGCAGAACAUUCAGGGAAAGAAUAAGAGAAGAUCAUAACCAAGUACUUCACUUACAGGAGAAAACUAUGAAAAUAAAGAUUACAUAAGAGCAUGUUCCUUUUAAUGAACUCCAGCACUACUUUGGAUUUAAAGAAAUUAAAGCGUGACCCCCUCUAUCUUUACCUUAAAGUCAAAUUUAUCUUGUUAUGGAGCACCUCAGAGACAGAGGGAUAUGUCUUUCGUGGCACUGAAUCUUACAUAACUUAGUAGCUUUGGCUAAUUGCACCUGUAUCUUCAGACAUCCAAAUGCUGUUAGAGACAGACUGUAAUGUAAUAGGAAGCAUUACAAAAUAGCAGAGCAGCAAAGUCUCAGGCUUUAGUGAGUGAUUAUCUGCUUAGAUGUGAUAGCAGUAGGUACAGAAAUAAUAUAAAUUAAAAAAAAACUCCUUACCUGUAGAAGGCCUGUAAGAUAGCCAGGUAGCAGGGAUCUCCAGACAAGAUGCCCUCACCACCACUGCCAACCCUUAAAUGAAGUCUGGGAAGGGGUGGAUCCUGGCUCCACCCCUUGUGGUCACUCAGGUGCAUUGCUUGCACCUGAGCUCCCCUGGGUUGGCCCUUGUUCAAGACAUAACUUAGCAUUUCCACUACACCUACCAUCCAUUAUCACAAGGUAUUACUGUGGUCACAAAGUAACUGCUAAAAUGGAUAUCUAUUCAUCCCACAAAACUCCAAACCCAAAGGACAGCUAUGAAGUUUUAGAGGAUCCAAAGUACUAGACUUUCAGUGUCUUCAUUGCAAUGGGAGUGCAGCUGGGGGAAGGGAUUUCAGAGGUCCGUAUUGUACGAAGACCUUGAGGACGAGGAUGGAAUGUAGGAUAUUUCAGGAAGCCUGCUGUAUGACAACAGAGAUCUUCAGAGACAAAAGACAGGGGUUGUGCAACCCAGACUUCUUCCUUAGGAUAAAAAUAUGCUUCACAUAAAAAGUUUACUUUGGAGUCAAAAACUUUAAGUCACAUUGACUGAAAUGGACUUUUCUAUGUACUUUCACAGAAGUGAGUGGACAAGGUUAAUUCCAAGUCUAUAUAUCUGAACCACAAACUACCAGGAUGAUUCAAUAAGGUAACCAAAUGAGAAUGAUCCGUUGUUCAUGAAAGAUUCCCAAAGCCCUGGAUGCAUUCAUGGGCCUUUGGAUAAUACCAGACUUUUUAAAAUAGCAAAACAGUGGUUAUUCAGAUGGAUCUGCUACUAAGCUUCCUGGUGUCUUCAAACAAAUCACUUUGUGAGUGUAACUGCUCUUAAAAGACAAACAAAAACCAACUACAAAAAAGCAGAAAUAAAUAACAAAACAAGGAGCUAUUCAGAUCUGUGGCCAAUAUGGGCUUGUGACUACAACCUAAUAAUCAUGACAAUGAAAUACAGAAAAUUUCAAGAACUUCUGUGCAUAAUUUCUUUUGAAAUCUGCUUCAGGAGUGACAUUCUUCAUUAAAAACAAUCUGUCAUCCUUUCUCAGAUCAGAGUAUAGCUAAUCUUGCAAGAAGUCUGGCUACAUACAUACAAGCAUGGUUUGCGGAGCAGCAAGGAGCAUGGCGUACUCUUAAGACAAGCCCUUUGUCCACACAGAUUCCUGUCCGCUUACAGCUUGUCUGGGUGUUCUGUGAUGUACCACCUUACCUAACUGAAAACACCCCAUGAAAUUGUAUUGAGCUUAUUUGAGACAUGGAAUUAUAUGUCCUUCAAGGGUGGCCUCUGCCUGCCUGGGGCUACGCUUAGCUUUGCAGACUAUUAAUCUGAUCUUGGUAAAUUAGAUAAGCUCUUCACAAUACUGUAGAGACAUGCACAUUAAAACUGCUUACAGAGUACAACUGCUUCUCAGUGGUGAGUUAAAGCAGUUAUCUGGCACUAAACAUAAAAUUAAAUAACUUCUUGUCUCUUGAACUGAACAUAACAUUGUUGCUGAUAAUUAUAGUGGAAAAAAAUUCCUAUAACUAACAUUGUUUACAAGAUGCACUAAAUAGGGCUAUUUUCCAUUUCCAAAUAUGGAGUGUUUAAUUGAGUAGGAAAGCAAAAAGCCCUGCAGAACUCUCUUUACCAUCCUUAAAGCUUAGCCAUCAAAAGAGGGAAAAUAUUAUGUCUAAACUAUGCACCCUUUCUUGUCUUGAGGCUUGAUUCAAGCCUUAGAGAAAAUAAGGGUAGCCUUUCCUCUGACUUCCAUGUUAUCCAGAACUGGAAUAGUGAUUGAAAGUGUGUAUACUCAGUUGUUUCUUUUCAGGCCUAUGGAUUUGCUUUUAUUUCCAAGUAGAAUACAGUGGGUGUUAAACAUGCCACUACUGGAAACCUUUACACAAUAUCUUCUCCUUUAGAGUACAGCAUGUAUAGGUGCUUAUGACCUCUGUUAUUUUUGAAAUGUUAUUUUUGGCAGGUAUGUGUGCAAUAAGGAAGAGCUGAAUACUCUCUCUCUGUGUUAAAUAAAUAAAUAAUCUGACCACAAUGAUGUUACAUGGGAGUCAUUCCUAUUAAAUUGCAAUAUCUACCAAAACAAUGUUCUGGCUUGGAAACAGAGGUAUCCAAAACAAAUGUUAAUGUUUGAUUAUUGCAGUGAUUGUAUUAUAAGUCCCCCAGGGAAAGGGGGAAAGGAAUCAAACUGUAGUGGUGAAAACUGGAAUAUACAAAGUGAGAACUUAUCUUCUGCUCUGAUAAAUGUGUGCAUGCUGAAAAGACAGGGAUGUGAUCUUCUGAGGUGUGGUGAGGUAGCAGGUUUUGUGUCCUGAUCCAGCCCCCUGUUCUGUCUAGCAGGGAUACCACUUGUACUUUCACGUGAAAUGGUAGGCAUACUUCACUUAAAAUUAAUCAGAAUUUAAAAAAUCCAGGUGAACUCCUAGCCCCCUUACAAUAAAUAAAAAAAGCUUUCAUGAGCUUCCGUUUUUAAAGACAGUUUGACUAGUUAGGUCUCAUAUUGGAAAAAAAAAUACCAUAGAAAUGGA